AUUCUCAAAAUGAAAUGCUGCUUCACAGCAGAAGCCCAUUUGUGUAAUUAGUAAAAGUGCUGGGCUAAUUGGAAUACGCAAGUAGGAUUCCACCAUUUGGAAAGAACAAAUUGUGGGAGGACUUUUGCAUCUCUUCAAAGGAGAAUACUAAGAUGGACUCAGACGGCCCUGGUGACGCAUGCUACGACUUAUCUAAUGCUACCAUAUUGAAAAUCUUUGGCUCGACAUCAUCGAGGACGUCUGAACAUAACGAUAAAGGACAAGGGGAAACUUGGAGGCAUGAGGACAGAGAAAACAACGGGAGGGGGCCAUACUGAAAUCCAGCCCUGGACAUUCAUAGACCUUCAUAGACAACUACUGUACAAUGGCUACCACCUGGGCCCAGCCCAUCUAUAAAUAUGAUGCCAUAAUA